AACGAACGCUGGCGGCAUGCCUAACACAUGCAGGUCGAACGAGAUCUUCGGGUCUAGUGGCGCACGGGUGCGUAACGCGUGGGAAUCUGCCCUUUGGUUCGGAAUAACAGUUGGAAACGACUGCUAAUACCGGAUGAUGACGAAAGUCCAAAGAUUUAUCGCCAGAGGAUGAGCCCGCGUAGGGUUAGCUAGUUGGUGUGGUAAAGGCGCACCAAGGCGACGAUCCUUAGCUGGUCUGAGAGGAUGAUCAGCCACACUGGGACUGAGACACGGCCCAGACUCCUACGGGAGGCAGCAGUGGGGAAUAUUGGACAAUGGGCGAAAGCCUGAUCCAGCAAUGCCGCGUGAGUGAUGAAGGCCUUAGGGUUGUAAAGCUCUUUUACCCGGGAUGAUAAUGACAGUACCGGGAGAAUAAGCUCCGGCUAACUCCGUGCCAGCAGCCGCGGUAA
rnacentral:rRNA from 1 species